UACAGAGGGUGCUAGCGUUGUUCGGAAUCAUUGGGCGUAAAGGGCGUGUAGGCGGUUUGUUAAGUCAUGUGUGAAAUCCCUCGGCUCAACCGGGGAAGGACGCAUGAAACUGGCAAGCUAGAGUACCAAAGAGGGGGGUGGAAUUCCCGGUGUAGCGGUGAAAUGCGUAGAUAUCAGGAGGAACACCUGUGGUGUAGACGGCUUUCUGGACCAUAGCUGACGCUGAGACACGAAAGCGUGGGUAGCAAACAGG
rnacentral:rRNA from 1 species